GACGAACGCUGGCGGCGUGCCUAAUACAUGCAAGUAGAACGCUGAAGCGAGGAGCUUACUCUUCUUGGAUGAGUUGCGAACGGGUGAGUAACGCGUAGGUAACCUGCCUUGUAGCGGGGGAUAACUAUUGGAAACGAUAGCUAGUACCGCAUAACAAUGGAUGACACAUGUCAUUUAUUUGAAAGGGGCAAUUGCUCCACUACAAGAUGGACCUGCGUUGUAUUAGCUAGUAGGUGAGGUAAUGGCUCACCUAGGCGACGAUACAUAGCCGACCUGAGAGGGUGAUCGGCCACACUGGGACUGAGACACGGCCCAGACUCCUACGGGAGGCAGCAGUAGGGAAUCUGCGGCAAUGGGGGCAACCCUGACCGAGCAACGCCGCGUGAGUGAAGAAGGUUUUCGGAUCGUAAAGCUCUGUUGUAAGUCAAGAACGGGUGUGAGAGUGGAAAGUUCACACUGUGACGGUAGCUUACCAGAAAGGGACGGCUAACUACGUG
rnacentral:rRNA from 1 species